CGCGUAGGCGGUUUGAUAAGUCAGAUGUGAAAGCCCAUGGCUUAACUGUGGAAGUGCAUUUGAAACUGUCAGACUUGAGUACCAGAGGGAAAGUGGAAUUCCCGGUGUAGAGGUGAAAUUCGUAGAUAUCGGGAGGAAUACCGGUGGCGAAGGCGACUUUCUGGCUGGAUACUGACGCUGAGGCGCGAAAGCGUGGGGAGCAAACA
rnacentral:rRNA from 1 species